CCGUGCUAAUACCGCAUAAUGUCUNCGGACCAAAGAUUUAUCGCCCUGGGAUGAGCCCGCGUAGGAUUAGCUAGUUGGUGGGGUAAAGGCCUACCAAGGCGACGAUCCUUAGCUGGUCUGAGAGGAUGAUCAGCCACACUGGGACUGAGACACGGCCCAGACUCCUACGGGAGGCAGCAGUGGGGAAUAUUGGACAAUGGGCGAAAGCCUGAUCCAGCAAUGCCGCGUGAGUGAUGAAGGCCCUAGGGUUGUAAAGCUCUUUUACCCGGGAUGAUAAUGACAGUACCGGGAGAAUAAGCUCCGGCUAACUCCGUGCCAGCAGCCGCGGUAAUACGGAGGGAGCUAGCGUUGUUCGGAAUUACUGGGCGUAAAGCGCGCGUAGGCGGUCCAUCAAGUCAGAGGUGAAAGCCCGGGGCUCAACCCCGGAACUGCCUUUGAAACUGGCGGACUAGAAUCUUGGAGAGGCGAGUGGAAUUCCGAGUGUAGAGGUGAAAUUCGUA
rnacentral:rRNA from 1 species